CUUACGGUGCUCACAACAGUCGCCGCAGCGAUCAUGGCAACUUCUUGCAAUUACGGUCGUACCAACCGUACUGGCAAGGUUACAGGGCCUAAAUUUAUACAGGUUUCGUCAUGAGGGCUACCCAGUGAAUAAUCUGUGUAGUGUGAUACGGCUGGGUGUACAGGUUACUUCACAGCUGCCUUGACAUACUCAAGAAAUGGGUGCAGAACCUCCAUAAUGCCCACAAACUUUG